CCUACGGGUGGCAGCAGUGAGGAAUAUUGGUCAAUGGGCGCGAGCCUGAACCAGCCAAGUCGCGUGAGGGAAGACGGUCCUAUGGAUUGUAAACCUCUUUUGUCGGGGAGCAAAAGACGCCACGCGUGGCGUUCCGAGAGUACCCGAAGAAAAAGCAUCGGCUAACUCCGUGCCAGCAGCCGCGGUAAUACGGAGGAUGCGAGCGUUAUCCGGAUUUAUUGGGUUUAAAGGGUGCGAAGGCGGAAGAUCAAGUCAGCGGUAAAAUUGAGAGGCUCAACCUCUUCGAGCCGUUGAAACUGGUUGUCUUGAGUGAAUGAGAGGUAUGCGGAAUGCGUGGUGUAGCGGUGAAAUGCAUAGAGAUCACGCAGAACUCCGAUUGCGAAGGCAGCAUACCGGCGCUCAACUGACGCUGAUGCACGAAAGUGUGGGUAUCGAACAGGAUUAGAUACCCCAGUAGUC
rnacentral:rRNA from 1 species